rnacentral:sRNA from 1 species
GCUGGGUGAAGUGGUGCACACCUGCAAUCCCAGCAACUCAGGAGGCUGAGGCAGGAGGAUCAUGAAUUCAGAGCCAACCUCAGCAAUUUAGCGAGGUCCUGGGCAACUCAGCAAGACCCUAUCUCUA